rnacentral:rRNA from 1 species
GAUGAACGCUAGCGGGAGGCUUAACACAUGCAAGUCGUGGGGCAGCACGGUGUAGCAAUACACUGGUGGCGACCGGCGCACAGGUGAGUAACGCGUAUGCAACCUGCCCUGUACAGGGGGAUAGCCCGGAGAAAUUCGGAUUAAUACCCCAUAAAGAUAUUGAGAGGCAUCUUUUAAUAUUUAAAGCUUCGGCGGUACGGGAUGGGCAUGCGUGACAUUAGCUAGUUGGUAGGGUAACGGCCUACCAAGGCUUCGAUGUCUAGGGGUCCUGAGAGGGUGAUCCCCCACACUGGUACUGAGACACGGACCAGACUCCUACGGGAGGCAGCAGUGAGGAAUAUUGGUCAAUGGGCGACAGCCUGAACCAGCCAUCCCGCGUGAAGGAAGAAUGCGCUAUGCGUUGUAAACUUCUUUUCCGGAGGAAUAAAAUCUUGUACGUGUACAAGACUGAAGGUACUCCGGGAAUAAGCAUCGACUAACUCCGUGCCAGCAGCCGCCGUAACAC